rnacentral:tRNA from 1 species
AGGCCCAUGCAGUGGAAUCACACCAAAAUGCAAAUUUGGAGAAGCACCCCAAUAAGGGUGCCGGGGCUUC